UAGGAAUUCCAACACAUUUUAUACUCGUCAGGUAAACCUAGUAGAAUAAGUUAUCAGUGGCAUGAUAGUAUUCUUCGCCGUAUCCUCGAGCGAAUAUCGAUGGUAUGUAUCCACAAUCUCCAGGUAUUUGGUGCAUGCAACUACUUUUACUAUUAAAUAGCAACACCACCCAGAACUACAAAUAUUAUAACAAUGCAUAUAAAACUAUGCUACGGUCAUUAUAUAGAUAAGCCGAAUAUUUGAAUUUGUACUGACAACAAUGUUCUUGAAACUGUAAUACCACAGUGAUUAAUUUUGCUUCAAAGCAAAUAAUGCAAGGCGAUAGUACUUGUCUAUUUAUCUCCCAGUACAGUACGGCAACUUUGUCUUUGUCUGAUUGAAGUUAAUCACAACACUCGCUCUGUGCGAUUGUCGUCACCUGCUAGUGCGAUCACCGAUCGCAUACUUGCCAUUACCUACCUACCAAAUUCAAAAGGAUUAGAAUAAUCCCUCGCCCUCAAAAUAGAAGCGAUCCGAAGUCUGUUACUUUUGGAAUCAAAAUUAGGAUUUCGUUUUGACAAACAUAAAAACGCCACGGUGUUCAAAACACGGAGAAAACUGAUGCAGAAUAGUUUGGCGCAAGGAAUGUUUAUGGCAGGCGGACGUGGCGCGUAUGCAGGACCCUCACUCCAGGGACCUCUCGCUUACCUCGAGAAGACUGCUACUAAUAUAGACAUGGUGGGACUAGGAGACGGGAGGAGGUGACGCGGCCGCGGGAGGGGCAGGGGCCGUGGCCGAGGCAGAGGCCGAGGUCGUGGUGCAUCCCCUGAAUAUGGCGGCAGCAUGACUCCGCCAUAGCGCGACCCCCUCCCGGCGUGGCCGGAUCUCAGCGUAUACCACACACCGUCGUGAACUGACCCGAAUUAUCACUUGUUUUAACCGCAUGACGUGCUAUCUAGUAUUUUAUUUUGUCUUCAUACCCAUUUAUAUUGACGUCGCUUUGGUAACUUCACAUAAUAAUUGCUAUACGAUCAAUGAUCCUCAAGGCUCUUUAUGAUACAAUGGAGAUACUAUCGAAGCAUUCUUCGGAACGCAAAAUCUAACAUAUUCAGUACAAGACUUGCAAAAUUUUAAGGUAAUUUGCUAAAAAAAAUCUAUGUUGCAGGGAUAUGGACAUAGAUAUACACCCUAAAGUUUAAAUACAUCCCACUGUAACAGAAAUUUCGAGAGUACGUACAUAUGUAGGUAACAUAUGUACCUAAUAUUUUCAUCGAAGCUUAUAUUUAUGAAGCUAUUUUUUUUAUAUUUGCUACUGAAAUUGGUUAUUGAAAAACUUCGUGUUUUAACUUCCUACUUCACGAAUAUUAAGUACUUAGGUACUUACCUAUUCAUAUUCGGUCUUCAAUAAACAGAUACGUACUAACUUUUUAUUAUGAAUUGGUCAGAUCUGCAUCUGAACGCUCUUUGAAGUUAAGAAAUUUCUUAGUUCAAUGUUAACUAGUUUUAUUAAGUUUGACAACUUACGUACAUACUUAUAUAAAUUAAGUAGGUACAUAUUAAUUUUACAUUAAUUUGGGCCAUGAAUCAUAAAUCAUGAUAUUAUUGAGUGACACGCUUUCAAGACCAGCUUUGUUUUUAUGCAUGCUAUAGGAACAAGUGACGAUUUGGUUAAACGUGUGGAACCCAUCACAGCACCACAAACAUACUGUAUUUUACAUGUAACACUACCACUCAAUACGGGGCUGCCAGACAACCGAACAAAUUAUUCUUCAGCGCUAGGAAUUUCAAGAAAACUAUAUUGAACAAAAUAUUUUUUUAAAUAUAUCAGCUAUAGCACAACCUUUGCCGUGCCUUUUGCAACACUGAUCGGUCCUUUAACAGUAAUAAAAUGACUGAUAACAUUAGGAACUAAUCAAAUUUGCUUUCGGUUUUAGGAGCUAUUUAAAACAUGUCAUAGUUGAUUUAUUGGCAGUCCCGAUUAGAGAUAUUUCAUAUAAUCUAUUUACCAAAAUUGCAAUUUUUGUUUUAAUUAACAUUGUAAAAUGCUUUUCAUGCAACAAAAAAUCAAGAAAAAGUACUUAAUUUUACAAAUAUAUUUUUUUUGCUCUAUUUGCUUUGUUGGUGAUUCUUAGAAGUGAAUAGGUGAAGGAAAGUCUUAUGUUUUUCUGGUGACGUAGACCUUGUCGCCUAGAUUGUUUAGAUAUUAGAUAAAUAUUUUUUUAUUUGUAAUAUCUCUUUAUCCAACCUUUCUGAGGAACCCAGGUCAUUGAAUUGAAAAAUUAUAACCGACAAUACUACCCAGUAGGAUUCCAAAAGUUAGACAAUAGGGGACCGGCCUAUGCUUGAUUUUGUACAUUAUUCUAUGUGUAAUGGCUUUAAAUACGAAAAGAAGCACUUCUGCGAAAACAGCAUAAAAAUUGGUUAAAAAAUGAGCGAGUAAUUCAUAUUU